UGCUUCCAAAGAUGAGAAAUUUUUAUCAUUCAGUUAUCCCUGUCUGAAGACUACUGUUGAGAAUUAUUCACACUCUGAGAAAAUG
rnacentral:snoRNA from 1 species